GAGGAAGGCUCUUCCUCUUCCCAUUCAGAAACUCUUUGUUUCCUACGCCACACAGCCAGCCAAGAGCAACAGCCCCUUUCCUAAUUAUUUCUCCAUGGAGCUCUAUUUAAUCCAUCGAUCUCUUAAUAAUCCACCAUUAUAUUUUUCUCUGUUAUUCCCAUCUCCCUUCAAUCCAUUACCCAUAUCCUUUAUUUUCAGUUUCUAUCAUCUUUCUCAUAUCAGAUUCAUAUUAUAACCCUAAGUUUCAAUCUCACCCAAAAAGCUCACAAAUUGUCUUUGAGAUUGAUGGUGACCAAGAGGGGAGGAGCAUGAGAAACUGAAAAGAUGUACAUAAAUCAGGUGGAGGUACGGAGUGGAGUUUCUCAAAGUGCUAGAAGAUCAAGGAUUUUUCAGUGAUUGAUUGUACUUUUAAUGUUACAGUUUUUACUUUUUUGAUUGUAAAUGGUGCAGAGGAAAUCAAGCAGCUAUUUGAUAAAGGGAAAGCAUCAUAUAUUUGCACAUUGUAAUGGGAUGGAUCUCUUAUUGGCUGCCUGUUUGGGAGGAAGAAGGCUACAGGAAGAUUUUGUACCCAUCCAAAUUUGCUGCAACCAUUUCAUAUGUUCUUUUCAAAGCUGAUUUUGCUAAACUCGUGUGAUGAAGCUUGAAGCCAGAAGCUAAUCUUAAGGGAAAGGGUUUAGUAUUUUGAACAAACACUUAGUUUUAAUGUAUCUUGACAUGUUCCCAUUAUUGGUUGUUGGAAUGUUGGUUUGUAAAUUUUUAAUUUCCUUCAUGAUAUUAAAUAUGUAAUCAGAAUUUUUUUUGUUUUAUAUGGAGAUAUGGCUGCACUCUACAUAAAAUCAUUUUAUUUGUUGUUUUUUUUGCAAUUGUAUAUAAACUAAGGGAAGGGGCCUCAUUCAGUUUAUUGCCUAGGGCCACCGAAAAGUCAGGGCCGGCCCUGUUUGUAUUAGCAAUAUUUGUGGAUAAUAAUCAAUCGUAUUUUCUGUUUU